GAUGAACGCUAGCGGCAGGCUUAAUACAUGCAAGUCGUGGGGCAGCAGGUUUGUAGCAAUACAGAUGCUGGCGACCGGCAAACGGGUGCGGAACACGUACACAACCUUCCUUUAAGUGGGGAAUAGCCCAGAGAAAUUGGGAUUAAUACCCCGUAACAUUAUGAUGUGGAAUCACAUUCUAAUUAUAGCUACGGCGCUUAAUGAUGGGUGUGCGGCUGAUUAGGUAGUUGGCGGGGUAACGGCCCACCAAGCCUGCGAUCAGUAACUUGUGUGAGAGCACGACCAGUCAAACGGGCACUGAGACACGGGCCCGACUCCUACGGGAGGCAGCAGUAAGGAAUAUUGGGCAAUGGAGGAAACUCUGACCCAGCCAUGCCGCGUGGAGGAUGAAGGUCCUCUGGAUUGUAAACUUCUUUUAUAUGGGACGAAAAAGGGUCUUUCUAGGUCAACUGACGGUACCAUAUGAAUAAGCACCGGCUAACUCCGUGCCAGCCGCCGCCGUAACAC
rnacentral:rRNA from 1 species